rnacentral:rRNA from 1 species
UACGUAGGUCGCAAGCGUUGUCCGGAUUUACUGGGCGUAAAGAGCGCGCAGGCGGCUGGUCAAGUCCGAUGUGAAAUCUCCCGGCCCAACUGGGAAACUGCAUCGGAAACUGAUCGGCUUGAAGAUGGGAGAGGGUAGUGGAAUUCCCGGUGUAGUGGUGAAAUGCGUAGAUAUCGGGAGGAACACCAGUGGCGAAGGCGACUACCUGGCCCAUUCUUGACGCUGAGGCGCGAAAGCUAGGGGAGCGAACGGG